UCUCCUUCUUCUCCAUUUUUCUCUCUAAAACCGUACCCACCCACACUACCACCUUCAACUCCAUUUUUCUUCACUUUUGAACCAAACUAAAGAUGUGACGGAAAGUCAACUAUUGACGGAUCAAAUUGAAGGAGCACCGGUUGGAAUAGACCGAGUGGCUAAUAGUGGAUCAUCGUGGCGUAUUUAAUUAUUUAUGGAGCGACAGUCUGAAUAUUGCCUGUGUUUGGACGAGAUUUCAUCUUUUUGAUUCUUGAAGUCUUCGUUUUGCGUAUAUGGUAAUUGGUCUUAUUUUGAUCUGUAGAGCUGCAGUAGAAUAGAUAGACAGACGCCUUAGCAUGUCAGUAUUUGCGAUGUUUGCCACGUAUGAACUCUGUUUUGUUUUCAUCGCACGAUUAUAAUAUAUUUUAACGACAUGCAUUAAGGUAUUGGAAAUAGUUGCAACCCGGGUACACGGUAGUACCGGGAGUUUUGAGAUACAGUGUAAAGAAAACUGUACGCAACUAUGUUAUGUGUAUAAUGUGGGGCCCAGCGUGGCUAUAUGCAUGAUUGCAUGUUAUCGGUUUUGUAAAAGACGGUAUUCGAGGAAUACGCGUUAAAACGAUAACCAGUAAUUGAAAAGUAACGGUUUUAAUUUAA